UCCUUGGUGGUUUAAUGGUCAAGAUACUCGACUGACAAUCAGGAGGACGUGGGUUCAAUCCCAGCCUGGGUG
rnacentral:tRNA from 1 species